rnacentral:rRNA from 1 species
CUGAUUGCACAGUCUUUUUUAUUAAGACAAGACUAAGUUUAUAUCUAAUAUGUAGAUCAUACAUAUUUCUUUUAACUUAAUCUACAUAUUUCUUUUAACUUAAUCUACAUAUUGGGUAUAGACUUAGUUGUGCAAGAUUGACUAUGUCGAAUAAAGUUCUAGAUAGAGUUAGGAUGAUGACAUUCUCUAUCUAUGUGUCUCGACCAAAUCACGUGCCAGCAGUCGCGGUAAGACGUGGGAGACUAGUGUUAUUCAUCUUUAUUUGGUUUAAAGGGUACCUAGACGGCUAAUCAAGCCCCUAAAGGGUACUAAUUGGCUAGAGUUUUAUGUGAAAAGGGGAGUACUAAAGUGUGGAGAGAUGAAAUUCUGUGAUACCUGAUCUGGAACUGUCAACGGCGAAAGCGACCUUUUAUGUAAAAACUGACGUUGAAGGACGAAGGCUUAGGACACCAAUAGGAUUAGAUACCCUAGCAGUCUAAGCAGACAAUGAUGAAUGUCAUAGAUUAGAAUUAUAAUUUUGUCUAUAAAUGAAAGUGUAAGCAUUCCACCUCAAGAGUAACGCGGCAACGCCGGAACUGAAAUCAUUAGACCGUUUCUGAAACCAGUAGUGGAGUAUGUUGUUUAAUUUGACUGUACGCAAAAAACCUUACCACAGUCUGAAUAGAUAUCUAAAUAUCAUACAGCGUUGCACGGCUGUCUUCAGUUAAUGUCGUGAGAUGUUGGUUAGUUCCAUUAAAUUAACGUAAACCCUUACUUUAUUUUUUAUUAUGAAGUAGUUCACCGACACAAUGGUCAUGAUAAAAGGGAUUAAGACAAGUCAAUAUGGCCUUAGUAUUGUGGGCUAUAGACGUGCUACAUAGGCCUUUACAAA